CUGCAUGAAGCCGGAAUUGCUAGUAAUGGCAGGUCAGCAUACUGCCGUGAAUACGUUCCCGGGCCUUGUACACACCGCCCGUCACACCAUGAGAGUUGGGGAUACCCAAAGCCCGUGAGCCAACUUUAAAAGAGGCAGCGGUCUAAGGUAGAAUCAAUGAUUGGGGUGAAGUCGUAACAAGGUAGC
rnacentral:rRNA from 1 species